rnacentral:lncRNA from 1 species
AUUGCUUUCUUGGAAGGCGUUAUUCAAUGCUCACUUCCAACCAUAGUUAGUUAAUUCGGAUUCGGUAAAAAUUCGGUACGGAUAUAAUUCGGAUAAAAUUCAUCUUUUAAUUUUUAAAUUCGUUGAAAAAUACGGUUAAAAAAUGGAUUCGAUAAUUAUUCGGAUACAUGAUUUAUACAGAUAUUAUACGUUCACCAAUUAAAAAUUCGGGAUAAAAAAUUCGGCGAUUAAAUUAAAUUUUUUUCUCUCAAGAUUUAUGCUAUUAG